GGGUGGAGCAGUCUGGUAGCUCGUCGGGCUCAUAACCCGAAGGUCGUAGGUUCAAAUCCCGUCGGGACCGCCA
rnacentral:tRNA from 1 species